UCUUAUCAAGAUGUUAAGUUAGCCACUCGAAGUUGAGAUUGUCUAUGAUCGAGUGUAUGUACGUAAGUACGUAACUGUAACCAAGUGCGCAGUUGCACAAGAUGAAAUUGCUCUGUUCGAGACGAGUACGGCAACGCUGAGGGGAAACGAAUGUCUCUCGCCUUAUAUUCAUUUGAAAUGACGUAUUUCUCCCUUGUAAAAGGGAACCAGUACAGAGGUCCUGUGUAAGAACCAGUAUAGGGGCCCAGUGUAAGAACCUGUAUAGGGGUCGAGUGUAAGAACCUGUAUAGGGGUCCAAUGUAAGAACCAGUAUAAGAAUCGGUGUUGGUUCUAACUGGUAUUGAAGGAGUACAGCUAGGAAUAAGCUGCUUUUACAAUGUAUCCACCUACUGUUAAGAAGAAAUAUUAAAAAAAAAACCGGGAGUCAGCCUUUCCCUCAACCCUUAUUACAACAAUGAAGAUUCGACCGUCUCUGACGUCAAGUACCGGUUCCAGCUAAGGAUAGGCCAAGAAGUAUAGUAGCCUAGGCCUAUGAGGUACCUUUAUAUUAGCCUAUGGUUUGAAGUGUUUUGUAUAGGCUAGUCUGAGUUAAUUGUCCUAAAAUGUAUGGUAGCCUCCAAAUGUCUAAGUCAGGACAAUUGACACAUCAGUACUGUAUACAUAUGCAGUAUAGUAAAUACAUGAGUCAUAAGAAUA